UUUCCGUAGGUGAACCUGCGGAAGGAUCAUUAAAGUUAUAGUCCCCCGGCCCCUCCGGGCUGGGGUCUUCUAUACCACCCUUUGUUUAUUACACCUUUGUUGCUUUGGCAGGCCUGCCCUCGGGCUGCUGGCUCCGGCCGGCUCGUGCCUGCCAGAGGACCUAAACUCUGUUUGUAUAUGAAGUCUGAGUACUAUAUAAUAGUUAAAACUUUCAACAACGGAUCUCUUGGCUCUC
rnacentral:misc_RNA from 1 species